GCGGGAGUCGCCAAGUGGUAAGGCAUCAGCCUUCCAAGCUGAUAUUCGUGGGUUCGAAUCCCAUCUCCCGCUCAA
rnacentral:tRNA from 1 species